rnacentral:rRNA from 1 species
AGCGAACGCUGGCGGCAGGCCUAACACAUGCAAGUCGAACGAACCCUUCGGGGUUAGUGGCGGACGGGUGGGUAACACGUGGGAACGUGCCUUUAGGCUCGGAAUAACUCAGGGAAACUUGUGCUAAUACCGAAUGUGCCCUUCGGGGGAAAGAUUUAUCGCCUUUAGAGCGGCCCGCGUCUGAUUAGCUAGUUGGUGAGGUAAUGGCUCACCAAGGCUACGAUCAGUAGCUGGUCUGAGAGGAUGACCAGCCACAUUGGGACUGAGACACGGCCCAAACUCCUACGGGAGGCAGCAGUGGGGAAUCUUGCGCAAUGGGCGAAAGCCUGACGCAGCCAUGCCGCGUGGAUGAUGAAGGUCUUAGGAUUGUAAAAUCCUUUCACCGGUGAAGACAAUGACUGUAGCCGGAGAAGAAGCCCCGGCUAACUUCGUGCCAGCCGCCGCAGUAAUAC